GAAUUUCGGGCAGAUUUGGUGGGAAAUAGGGGGAAGUCUUGCUGUUCUUGACUUUGGGCAAGCACAGGCCAAACAUGCAGUUCAACAUUUGUUCAUGCCUCGUCUUGGCCAAACUUUGUCGUUGUCAUGGAAGAGUAGGAUUGAUUCAUAUUUUCCACGUCCCGUCGGAAAGGCCCAGCCACCCAGCGUGGGAAAGAGGGGGUCGUCUUGCCGUUCGUGACUUGGGCAGGCACAGGCCAAACAUGCAGUUCAACGUUUGUUCAUGCCUCGUCUUGGCCAAACACUGUCUUGGUCACGGUAAAGCAAAAUUUCUGCCUCUUUCUCACGCCGCCCAUGUACGGUGGGGCGGCUAGCGUAGCUAGUAAGAAACCCGUGCACGUCCCUUCUCGGAAAAACUUGUGCCCUUGUAACGCUGCGGGGCGACUAGCAUUUGCUUACGCAGUGCAGGUCAAUAAACAUAGCCGUGUUGGUCCCUCCUCGGAAAAAAUUGUGCCCUUGUAACGCUGCGGGGCGACGAGCAUUUGCUUACUUACAGUGCUGGUCAAUAAACAUAGCCGUGUUGGUCCCUCCUCGGAAAAAAUUGUGCCCUUGUAACGCUGCGGGGCGACUAGCACUUGCAUACAAAACUCUCUCGUGGCAUUGAAUUUGGGUUGACUCACGUCCUCUUAAUCUAUGCCGUGUUUGAGUUGAGUUGCAGUGCAGGUCAAUAAACAUAGCCGUGUUGGUCCCUUCUCGGAAAAACUUGUGCGUCUCCUUAAUUUUCAUGCUUAGCGAAGCGGAGUCGGCGUUGUUGGAUGCUUCCAUAUGCCUGCAUGCCUCGGCAUUGUGGGGUGUGGGAUGUGUUCCGCGAUGUUGGUUUUUGCAGACGCGAGGGCAUGUGAGUGGUAGCGUGGAUGUUUGUGUUUGCUGGCUCAAUGCUUUGGCUUUGAACGGUUUGCAUAUGAUCCUGAUCAUUUUUCAUUGUUGACUUUGUGUCUUCGAUGUUUGUCCGUUGUUCCUGUUUGGUUUACCCAUAAAUUGGUACACUGGUGGCUUGUUAGACUUUGAACCAUCCCGCACCAUUGCUUGGUGUUGCGGUGGCUUCUGAAUUUAUACGUAUGCUCCGCUUAGAUCUCCUAUGUGGUGUCUUUUGCGGUGCGCAUGUAUUCAUCGAUUUCUCGGACGCGGUGCUUGAGAUGACCUUUGGUUUUUCCAUUUAUG